CCGAUAGGAAGUUUUGAAUCUAGUUCUUUCAAACACAUAGGACGAGAAGUUUUUCUCAGCUGGUGUCCGAUAGUGACGAGCUUGGAUUGAAUAACGUUUGGGACCAGCAGUCAUUUAAAUCAGUGGAGUGGUUAAAAAGAGUUGUGAAGAGAAGACUGUCUGAUCAGUAUCUACAAACAAUGGAGAAAUGACAUCUUUACGACCAGCAAAGGAACUACUUAUAGAAUAUUUAUAGAGAAAUUGGAACUAGAAUCAUAUUUUAACAUUCUGGAUAAAACAAUGUGCACAACAUUUUUUCGAUUUAGAAUUUAAAAUCACUUUUUACCAGUUGAAAAGGGGAGGUGGACAACUAUUUUAUAUGAAAAUAGAAACUGUACGCUUUGUAAUAGCAAUAUUGUUGGAGAUGAUUUUCAUUAUUAGUUAUAUGCAAAAAAUUUAGACAAGAAAGAUUAAACUAUCUUAACAAAUACUAUGUAAAUAGACCAAAUAUAUACAAAUUCCAGCAACUCUUUAGCUCAAAACGUAUUAGUGUUCUCAAAACAUUGUGUAAGUUUAUAUCAAUUAUUAACAAACAAUUUUGUGCUUCUUGACUUGCGUGUAAUUUUAACUGUUUUUAAUAUUUAG